rnacentral:tRNA from 1 species
GGCGAGGUGGCAGAGCGGCUUAAUGCGGCAGUCUUGAAAACUGUUGAUGGGGUGACUCAUCCGUGGGUUCAAAUCCUACCCUCGCCG